rnacentral:rRNA from 1 species
GUGUAAGUUUAAAGACCAAGUAGGAUGAAACUGCGGACGGCUCAUUAUAACAGUAAUAGUUUCUUUGGUUAGUAUGUACAAGGAUAACUUUGUGAAUGAUAAAGCUAAUACUUGAGACGAUCCGGGGAGUAUUUAUACUUUCCGGCCGCUGGCCGCAAGGUUGGGGAGAAAUGACAUUCUCUUGUGAAAAAGGAUGCCACGACAAUUGAGGAAAGCGACGCUUUUUACAAGUAACCAAUGGGAAUUUCUGAUCUAUCAAUUUGUUGGUAGUAUCGAGGACUACCAAGAUUAUAACGGAUAACGAGGAAUUGGGGUUCGACAUCGGAGAGGGAGCUUUACAGAUGGCUACCACUUCUAAGGAAGGCAGCAGGCGCGUAAAUUACCCACUUUCGACAUGAAGAGGUAGUGACGACAAAUAACUCUUGGG